ACGAUCCCAUAUGCCCGACAUAGC
rnacentral:siRNA from 1 species